GCUGCUCCCUUCCUACCUCAGGUGGAUCGACUGGAGCGUCUACUGGAUCCGGAGGCUACACGCGAAGCAGGAUCAGUUCCUGCAAAAGAUCAUCGACGAGCAUAAGAACGAGAAGAACACAUCGACGUCAAGCAAAGACAUCAUGGAUAUGAUGCUGGGGCUUCUGGCGGAGGACCCGCGAGGAGAAGACAUAGUGAAAGCUGCCAUGACAGUAAGCCACUGUUAGUCGAAUGCCUAGAGCUUGAUGGAUUUACUUGGCGUGCGCAGGAGCUUGUAUCGGGCGGGACUGAUACAUCCGCGACGGUGAUCGAGUGGGCCUUGGCAGAGAUCCUUCACCGUGCUCCGCGC
rnacentral:lncRNA from 1 species